CACGCAUCCUGUAAAAAUAUGGCUGAAAGCACCGACUUACCACACAGAGCGCAAAGGACAGUGAAAACAGCAGCUCAGUAUGCCCGAGGUCAGCCGGGAAGGCAGAGGCAUUUCUGCCCUUCGCCAUUACCCUUCUGCACUUUCAAGGAGCCACCAGUGGGAGCAAGGCAAUGUUGUAAAUCCAGUGAGAGUUUAUAGGCAAACGCGUAAUGUCUCCUGGAAUCCCAAGGAGAACGAACUUGGAGUUGCUCCAAUGUGACUAGGCCUGUGUAUGGGGACAUCAACUACAAAGAGAGGGGAGAGUCGAGUCAGAGGAGCCAGCAGCUCAUGACUGUCCUGUGGACAGCAGGAAAACCCCGUCAAUGGCAACCACAGAGCCUCUGGAGAGGAGACAUCCGUCCUGCUGUUGCUCAUACAAACCCACAUGGAACAGAGGGCUCAGCGUAUUAUCACUCGGGCAUCACAUGUCUAUUGCGAACCUACUCGUUAUUACAUGCAGGAGACUGCCAGAAGGGUACAAAUCAGCGUAAGAUAUGGUCCAGCCCUCAAGGAGCUGAUAAUCUCCAUGAGCAGAGGAUUUAAACAUGAGGACAUCUUGGCCAAAAAAGCGACACAUGAAAGGUAUACAACUUAAGUAUUGUUAGAGCAAUAAAGACAUCCUAGGGAUUUCCUAAAAAAGUGAGAUUACGGGUCCCUGACGUGGGCGGGAGAGGAAGAAAUGACAGAUUUUGAGCAGUGGCACAUCCGAGGGAGUCUCGAGGUAGGACAAUAAUUAUUUCUGAUGUUCAGGAUUUACCCAAACAUCUCGUCGUCCCGGACCCACCUUUCUUCACUGAAGAUACUCUCACCGAGGAAGUGGCCACAGACACAAAUGUUAAAAGUGCUUUUCCUUUUGUUAGGUUUUCAGUUUGUUUGAUUUGAUUUAUUCCUUCCCUGUAGAAGGGUUGGAGGCUGAGUUCGCUGACUUCUGUCAGAAGGACGAGGCAGGGGUGUUGAAGAAACCUCUGAGCACACUGAAUAAUUAUGCUCUGUUUUUCUUUGUAUGCCCUUCUGAUAUCACAGUCAUGGCAGCUCGAACAAGUCAGUGCACAUUCGCAAAAACAAAGUUAAUGAAGAAAUGAGGACUACAUUCAGCUCGUCAUAGUUUUUUCUAAGUUCCUUUGUUAUGUCUAGCCA